rnacentral:rRNA from 1 species
GACGAACGCUGGCGGCGUGCCUAACACAUGCAAGUCGAGCGGGGAAGAGGAAGCUUGCUUCCGAAUCCUAGCGGCGGACGGGUGAGUAACGCGUGAGCAACCUGCCUCAAACAGGGGGAUAACGCAUCGAAAGAUGUGCUAAUACCGCGUAAGACCACAGCACCGCAUGGUGCGGGGGUCAAAGGAGCAAUCCGGUUUGAGAUGGGCUCGCGUCCGAUUAGCUAGUUGGUGAGAUAACAGCCCACCAAGGCGACGAUCGGUAGCCGACCUGAGAGGGUGAUCGGCCACAUUGGAACUGAGAAACGGUCCAGACUCCUACGGGAGGCAGCAGUGGGGAAUAUUGGGCAAUGGGGGAAACCCUGACCCAGCAACGCCGCGUGAAGGANAA